UACAGAGGGGGCAAGCGUUAUUCGGAAUUAUUGGGCGUAAAGGGCGCGUAGGCGGCUUGGCAAGUGGAUGGUGAAAUCCCUCGGCUUAACCGAGGAACUGCCGUCCAAACUGCUUCGCUUGAGACCGGGAGAGGUGAGUGGAAUUCCCAGUGUAGCGGUGAAAUGCGUAGAUAUUGGGAGGAACACCUGUGGCGAAAGCGGCGCACUGGACCACAUCUGACGCUGAGGCGCGAAAGCUAGGGGAGCAAACAGG
rnacentral:rRNA from 1 species